rnacentral:rRNA from 1 species
GGGACACGUGGUAUCCUGUCUGAAUAUGGGGGGACCAUCCUCCAAGGCUAAAUACUCCUGACUGACCGAUAGUGAACCAGUACCGUGAGGGAAAGGCGAAAAGAACCCCGGCGAGGGGAGUGAAAAAGAACCUGAAACCGUGUACGUACAAGCAGUGGGAGCCUCUUUAUGGGGUGACUGCGUACCUUUUGUAUAAUGGGUCAGCGACUUAUAUUCUGUAGCAAGGUUAACCGUAUAGGGGAGCCGAAGGGAAACCGAGUCUUAACUGGGCGUUAAGUUGCAGGGUAUAGACCCGAAACCCGGUGAUCUAGCCAUGGGCAGGUUGAAGGUUGGGUAACACUAACUGGAGGACCGAACCGACUAAUGUUGAAAAAUUAGCGGAUGACCUGUGGCUGGGGGUGAAAGGCCAAUCAAACCGGGAGAUAGCUGGUUCUCCCCGAAAGCUAUUUAGGUAGCGCCUCGUGAACUCAUCUUCGGGGGUAGAGCACUGUUUCGGCUAGGGGGCCAUCCCGGCUUACCAACCCGAUGCAAACUACGAAUACCGAAGAAUGUUAUCACGGGAGACACACGGCGGGUGCUAACGUCCGUCGUGAAGAGGGAAACAACCCAGACCGCCAGCUAAGGUCCCAAAGUCAUGGUUAAGUGGGAAACGAUGUGGGAAGGCACAGACAGCCAGGAUGUUGGCUUAGAAGCAGCCAUCAUUUAAAGAAAGCGUAAUAGCUCACUGGUCGAGUCGGCCUGCGCGGAAGAUGUAACGGGGCUAAACCAUGCACCGAAGCUGCGGCAGCGACACUAUGUGUUGUUGGGUAGGGGAGCGUUCUGUAAGCCGUUGAAGGUGUGCUGUGAGGCAUGCUGGAGGUAUCAGAAGUGCGAAUGCUGACAUAAGUAACGAUAAAGCGGGUGAAAAGCCCGCUCGCCGGAAGACCAAGGGUUCCUGUCCAACGUUAAUCGGGGCAGGGUGAGUCGACCCCUAAGGCGAGGCCGAAAGGCGUAGUCGAUGGGAAACAGGUUAAUAUUCCUGUACUUGGUGUUACUGCGAAGGGGGGACGGAGAAGGCUAUGUCAGCCGGGCGACGGUUGUCCCGGUUUAAGCAUGUAGGCGGAGGUUCCAGGUAAAUCCGGUACCUUAUUAACGCUGAGGUGUGAUGACGAGGCACUACGGUGCUGAAGUGAUAAAUGCCCUGCUUCCAGGAAAAGCCUCUAAGCAUCAGGUAACACGAAAUCGUACCCCAAACCGACACAGGUGGUCAGGUAGAGAAUACCAAGGCGCUUGAGAGAACUCGGGUGAAGGAACUAGGCAAAAUGGUGCCGUAACU